CACAAGUUCCCAAGCAUUCCACCAGCACUCACUACAGGGUAUUGCCAAGAGUAGCAGACUGCACACGAAUCAACAAGGCUUCCUUCAUAUUGCAAUCCCAACAGAAAAUGGUGCAGCAAAAGCAGUUCCCAGACCUUGGUUGCCUGCUACCCAAGCUCUUGUGCCAAGGCUGGAAAUGAGUCAGGCCCAACCAACUUAUUCCAGAAUUUUAUCAGACUGUUCAAGUGAAGCAGGAGGCUGAAAUUUCAAGAUUUAGAUCUCUG